GGAACAAGUCUCCCAAAUUUCCCAAAUCUCCCUGGGCCGGAGGCCACUGUCUUCUUCUCUUCCUCCUCCACCGAGUCGUGCUCUCGCCCCAACCCGCGCGCCAGACGCUGCCCUAGCCAUCAUGGAGGUGGCCGAGGUGGAAAGUCCUCUGAACCCCAGCUGUAAGAUAAUGACCUUCAGACCUUCCAUGGCGGAGUUCCGGGAGUUCAACAAAUACCUUGCAUACAUGGAGUCUAAAGGAGCCCAUCGCGCGGGUCUUGCAAAGGUGAUUCCUCCUAAGGAGUGGAAGCCAAGACAGUGCUAUGAUGACAUUGAUAAUUUGCUCAUUCCAGCACCAAUUCAGCAGAUGGUCACAGGGCAGUCAGGACUGUUCACUCAGUACAACAUCCAGAAAAAAGCGAUGACUGUGAAGGAGUUCAGGCAGCUGGCCAACAGUGGCAAAUAUUGUACUCCAAGAUACUUGGAUUACGAAGAUUUGGAGCGCAAGUACUGGAAGAACUUAACUUUUGUGGCACCUAUCUAUGGUGCAGAUAUUAAUGGGAGCAUAUAUGAUGAGGGUGUGGAUGAAUGGAACAUAGCUCGCCUCAAUACAGUCUUGGAUGUGGUUGAAGAAGAGUGUGGCAUUUCUAUUGAGGGUGUAAAUACCCCAUAUCUCUAUUUUGGCAUGUGGAAGACCACGUUUGCAUGGCACACCGAAGACAUGGACCUCUAUAGCAUUAAUUAUCUCCACUUUGGAGAGCCCAAGUCUUGGUAUGCCAUACCUCCGGAGCAUGGAAAACGACUUGAAAGACUAGCUCAAGGUUUUUUCCCAAGCAGCUCCCAAGGGUGUGAUGCAUUUCUUCGCCACAAGAUGACAUUGAUUUCUCCGUCAGUAUUGAAGAAAUACGGUAUUCCCUUUGACAAGAUAACCCAGGAGGCUGGAGAAUUCAUGAUCACUUUCCCAUAUGGCUACCAUGCUGGUUUUAAUCAUGGUUUCAACUGUGCAGAAUCUACAAAUUUUGCUACUGUCAGAUGGAUUGACUAUGGAAAAGUUGCCAAAUUGGUAAGCUAUGCCUCAAAAAUAAAGCAUAAAUUAAAUGUGUAUUCUGGUUAUUUUAGUAGGAACCGUAAGAUCCUGUGCAGCAUUUGUUUAUUCUUCCUCACUGGCGCCAUGUGCCUCUCACCACAGCAAUUCACUUCAGGCUCGAUACAUUUAUUUUACAUAGCCAAUAUUACCAAUUUUAGCUGAAUUUGUCUGUUUUGAGAUUAAUGUGGAGCGAUUUACCCUGAUAGGUAAUUUGAUGCGACGUGUGUUUGCUUUUUAUCUUGAGGCCCCCAGUUGGUGUUUUGCAAGAUUUUCCAGUGGCAUCAUAUGGCUGCAUGUUAGAUAGACUCAGAUCUCUCCCUGUUUGCGAUCAGUUCGUGGCUUAGAAAACAGCACUUUACAGAAGGGAGUGUCUGAU
rnacentral:sRNA from 1 species